GAGUAAUGUCUGGGAAACUGCCUGAUGGAGGGGGAUAACUACUGGAAACGGUGGCUAAUACCGCAUAACGUCGCAAGACCAAAGAGGGGGACCUUCGGGCCUCUUGCCAUCAGAUGUGCCCAGAUGGGAUUAGCUUGUUGGUGAGGUAACGGCUCACCAAGGCGACGAUCCCUAGCUGGUCUGAGAGGAUGACCAGCCACACUGGAACUGAGACACGGUCCAGACUCCUACGGGAGGCAGCAGUGGGGAAUAUUGCACAAUGGGCGCAAGCCUGAUGCAGCCAUGCCGCGUGUAUGAAGAAGGCCUUCGGGUUGUAAAGUACUUUCAGCGGGGAGGAAGGUGUUGUGGUUAAUAACCGCAGCAAUUGACGUUACCCGCAGAAGAAGCACCGGCUAACUCCGUGCCAGCAGCCGCGGUAAUACGGAGGGUGCAAGCGUUAAUCGGAAUUACUGGGCGUAAAGCGCACGCAGGCGGUCUGUCAAGUCGGAUGUGAAAUCCCCGGGCUCAACCUGGGAACUGCAUUCGAAACUGGCAGGCUUGAGUCUUGUAGAGGGGGGUAGAAUUCCAGGUGUAGCGGUGAAAUGCGUAGAGAUCUGGAGGAAUACCGGUGGCGAAGGCGGCCCCCUGGACAAAGACUGACGCUCAGGUGCGAAAGCGUGGGGAGCAAACAGGAUUAGAUACCCUGGUAGUCCACGCCGUAAACGAUGUCUACUUGGAGGUUGUGCCCUUGAGGCGUGGCUUCCGGAGCUAACGCGUUAAGUAGACCGCCUGGGGAGUACGGCCGCAAGGUUAAAACUCAAAUGAAUUGACGGGGGCCCGCACAAGCGGUGGAGCAUGUGGUUUAAUUCGAUGCAACGCGAAGAACCUUACCUGGUCUUGACAUCCACAGAACUUUCCAGAGAUGGAUUGGUGCCUUCGGGAACUGUGAGACAGGUGCUGCAUGGCUGUCGUCAGCUCGUGUUGUGAAAUGUUGGGUUAAGUCCCGCAACGAGCGCAACCCUUAUCCUUUGUUGCCAGCGAUUCGGUCGGG
rnacentral:rRNA from 1 species